CGAUGGACACCGAGGCUCCUUCCACAGUUUGGCUAUUGUGGACAUUGCUGCUAUAAACAUCGGGGUGCAGGUGUCCCGGCGUUGCAUUGCAUCUGUAUCUUUGGCCCCACAUCAUUAAACAACAGAGGGCGCCCUGCUCCAGCGAUCUGAGCGAUCGUCCCAGAGUGAGGCCCGGAUGGCAGGCUCCCGCGUGUGUCUACUCCUACUGCACCUCUUCACAUGCUUGGAGAGAACCCAGAGUGGAAUCCUGCUCCUCACGUCAUGAGAAAAGCUUGAUACGCCUGGGAGUAAAACCCAAUUUAAAGAAGAAGAGUGAUAUAAACUGUUUGGAGGUGCUUUCCACAUGUUGUUCCAGAUUUGGGGUCUGAAUAUACAAAGGAAACCGCUUUUUACCACACUUCACUUUGGAUGGUGAUAAACACAGCUGCCCUGUCUGCAGGACAUGGAUAGCCUCUAUGAAAGCAAAAGAGAGACACAGGCAGAGGAAGAAGCAGGCUCCAUGCAGGGAGCUCGACGUGGGACUCGAUCCCGGGUCUCCAGGAUCACGUCCUGAGCCAAAGGCAGACACCCAACCGGUGAGCCACCCAGGCGUCCCUGGAUUAAUCAUUCACUAUUUUUA